rnacentral:rRNA from 1 species
AGAGUUUGAUCCUGGCUCAGAAUCAACGCUGGCGGCGUGCCUAACACAUGCAAGUCGAACGCGGUUACCCCGCAAGGGGUGACUGAGUGGCGAACGGGUGAGUAACACGUGGGUGAUCUACCUUCGAGUGGGGGAUAACGUUCCGAAAGGAACGCUAAUACCGCAUGACGUUCUGGGUUUGAAGACCUGGAAACCAAAGUCGGGGACCGCAAGGCCUGACGCUUGGAGAGGAGCCCGCGCCUGAUCAGCUAGUUGGUGAGGUAAUGGCUCACCAAGGCGACGAUCAGUAGCCGGCCUGAGAGGGCGGACGGCCACACUGGGACUGAGACACGGCCCAGACUCCUACGGGAGGCAGCAGUGGGGAAUUGUUCGCAAUGGGCGCAAGCCUGACGACGCAACGCCGCGUGGAGGAUGAAGGUCUUCGGAUUGUAAACUCCUGUUGAUCGGGAAGAAUGGACCCCGGGUGAAUAGUCCGGGGUAUUGACGGUACCGAUUGAGGAAGCCACGGCUAACUCUGUGCCAGCAGCCGCGGUAAUACAGAGGUGGCAAGCGUUGUUCGGAAUUACUGGGCGUAAAGGGCGCGUAGGCGGUUGCCUAAGUCGGACGUGAAAUCCCCAAGCUUAACUUGGGAACUGCAUCCGAUACUGGGUGACUUGAGUUCGGGAGAGGAAUGUGGAAUUCCAGGUGUAGCGGUGAAAUGCUAGA